GUGUAAAGUAUAAUCACUGAACUUUGAGGCUAAUUUUUUAUUAUAUAUAUAUUUUCAGGAAUCAUCAUCGCUUGGACUAGUAGUUUGCAGCACCUGAGUCAUAAAGGCGGUUGUAGGACGUUAUCCGUCAGAGGAAGAUGUCACUUACCUCUCAGUUUUGAAGUCAAGGCCUGCAGGACAGUUGAACUCUCUGCGUGUUACAUGCAAGUCUGUAUACACGAGUGAGUGAAUGAAGGAGGGAUGCACUGUUAAGGCAAGAUAGACAGAGAGAAAGACAUGCAGGCUCUGCGGAGGCGUUAGUGAUGGUUAACUUUUCGGUACGGCAGUCUUCUCUUGGUUCCUCUGAUCUUUUGAAGACUUUGUCAUUGUGAUCCUGGAAACGAGUGAGAAAAAACAUCAUACACCGUAGAGAGAGAGAGAGCGAGAAAAAACCUGUAUUGCUCCGACUCAGACCUCAGAGGCAGCUCUCAGUUUGACAAAGCGCCUGUCCUUGCCCCUACGUUUUUUUCACUCUCUCUUUCUUAUCCAUCUAGUAUUUGAUUGUUAAAUACUGCUAUUAAGUGCUGAAAAACUAUUCUACAACCUAUUUGUUCUAUGUUGUAUUUUAUUGUAUUUCCAUGGUCUCCUGUAUCACCUCCGGGGGCUUCAAACAGGGGUCCGUGAAGGUACUUUAUUGAGUAAGGAGAAGAUGCUGAUUAUAAUAAUAAAAAAAAGCAUAAUAAAAUGAAUACACGGUG
rnacentral:lncRNA from 1 species